UGCGUAGGCGGUGCCUCAAGUUUGGUGUGAAAUCUCCCGGCUCAACCGGGAGGGUGCGCCGAAAACUGAGGUGCUCGAGUGUGGGAGAGGUAAGCGGAAUUCCUGGUGUAGCGGUGAAAUGCGUAGAUAUCAGGAGGAACACCGGCGGUGUAGACGGCUUACUGGACCAUAACUGACGCUGAGGCACGAAAGUGUGGGGAGCAAACA
rnacentral:rRNA from 1 species